GACGAACGCUGGCGGCGUGCUUAACACAUGCAAGUCGAACGGAAAGGCCCUGCUUUUGUGGGGUGCUCGAGUGGCGAACGGGUGAGUAACACGUGAGUAACCUGCCCUUGACUUUGGGAUAACUUCAGGAAACUGGGGCUAUUACCGGAUAGGAGCUCCUGCUGCAUGGUGGGGGUUGGAAAGUUUCGGCGGUUGGGGAUGGACUAGCGGCUUAUCAGCUUGUUGGUGGGGUAGUGGCUUACCAAGGCUUUGACGGGUAGCCGGCCUGAGAGGGUGACCGGCCACAUUGGGACUGAGAUACGGCCCAGACUCCUACGUGAGGCAGCAGUGGAGAAUAUUGCACAAUGGGCGGAAGCCUGAUGCAGCAACGCCGCGUGCGGGAUGACGGCCUUCGGGUUGUAAACCGCUUUCGCCUGUGACGAAGCGUGCGUGACGGUAAUGGGUAAAGAAGCACCGGCUAACUACGUG
rnacentral:rRNA from 1 species